rnacentral:rRNA from 1 species
UGAGCCCAGCGCAGAACGUUCCGGGGCACUCGCCCUGAGAAUGAAUGUUGCGUUAAGGAUAUUGGCAUACACCCAUGGCAGUUACACUUUGCUAAGUCAGCCUCGAAUGGUUCUCGUGAAGCCGGUAACACGGUGAGACUCCAGGGAGGGUGUUAGACCCGUGUGAAGGUGCAAUCUGCUUGGGCAAGCCGAUAUCCCGAGAGUCGCGUUGUUUGAACAUGCAGCGCUAAGCAGGUCGUAGACUCGAUCUAAGGCUAAAUAUGUCCACAGAACCGAUAGUUAACAAGUACCGUGAGGGAAAGUUGAAAAGCACUCCGUAACGGAGAGUCAAAAGACCGUGAAACCACUCAGAGUAUAAGCCAAUGGUGUCUGGAAGGUCCUGUGCUUACAUCUUGGUGUCAAGGACUCAUGCGAACCUCAGCACUUGCGGGAGCAAUCUCCGUUGCUUUGGUAAGCUUGUCCGCUGAAGCACUCCGUUGACCCACCUGGCUCGUUGUGAGGUGUCCUGAGAGCAAAGCGAAGUGUUAAGAUUGGCUUGGAGUUGGGCGUGGGCGUCUCGAUGCCUUUCGCACUCUCCUUUUCGAGCACUUCUUCAGUUCUAUUCGCACAAAGUGUGGUAGUCUUGGAGUGUGCGCUGCUUGACGCUCUCUGGAACCAUCCUCUGCGACGAAGCUUCAAUGCCUUAGUGAGCGGCCGUCUUCCUCCUCGGGAGUCGGUACAUUGGCGCGGCUUGCACACUGUCGGUGCUCCGCUGUUCAACUCUGGCGCAAGGUGUUACGUCCGAUACCAUUGGUCACGUCUCGAAACACGGGCCAAGGAGUAUAGCGUGUGUGCAAGUCUAAGGGUUCCACAAAACCUGGAGGCGUAGUGAAAGCGAGUUAUGGUGUCUCACUGGACUGAUGGAGAAGGCAGUGAUGCGUGAUCCCGCAAGUCCCGGACUCGUCGUCUGCACUGCUUCGGUUGUGUUAGCGCGAGCACCGCAGAGCACAUACGCUAUGACCCGAAAGAUAGUGAACUAUGCUUGGCGAGGGUGAAGCCCCAGGAAACUGGGGUGGAGGCCCGUAGCCGUUGUGACGUGCAAAUCC